UCAACAAUUAAGUCUUGAUCUAUUGCCAAUACCUACAUUUGUGUUUACAUACAUAAAUUAAUUUACACAUUGGUACAUAUAACUUUACUUCGCCCCCCUUCUCUUUUAUAGCGGCAAAAAAUGGAACAUAUUAAAGUUAAGAGUAGACACGAAUUACUAUACUAAUAAGGAAGUUAUAUUGGGUUAGUAAUCUGUAUAAUAAAUUGAAAACAAAAAUAAGCAGAACAUAAAUAUAUGUAUAUAUAUAUAUACAUAUACAUAUACACUCCCAGUUUAACCUUAUUCUUUUGUUCAUAGUCGCUCAUUUAUAAUUUUUUUUUUUUUUUUUUUUUAAUACAACUUAUAGGUACAGUGUUAUUCACCAUUUUCAUAUUUUUGUACCCAACUAUUUUUAUUCUUUUUCUCGUUUUGGGGAUUAUCAACUUUAUUAUUGACAAAUUUAUAUUAUGUUUUAUUGUUUUAAGGGCCUUAAUUAUAUACACCCCAUUUUAUAUUCUCUUUAUGAAGCCCAGCAACAAUAAAUAUAUUAGCAAAGGAAUUAAGUUUACAAAAUGUCAGAAUGAGGUGAACACAGACUUAAAGCACCUAUACAAUUAGCAUAA
rnacentral:lncRNA from 1 species